GACGAACGCUGGCGGCGUGCUUAACACAUGCAAGUCGAACGGACAGGCCCUGCUUUUGUGGGGUGCUCGAGUGGCGAACGGGUGAGUAACACGUGUGUAACCUGCCCUUGACUUUGGGGUAACUUCAGGAAACUGGGGCUAAUACCGGAUAGGAGCUCCUGCUGCAUGGUGGGGGAUGGAAAGAUUCGGCGGUUGUGGCUGGACUCGCGGCUUAUCCGCUUGUUGGUGGAGUAGUGACUUACCAAGGCUUUGACGGAUAGCCGGCCUGGGAGGGUGAACGGCCACAUUGGGCCUGAGAUACGGCCCAGACUCCUACCGGAGGCAGCAGUGGGGAAUAUUGCACAAUGGGCGGAAGCCUGAUACAGCAACGCCGCGUGCGGGAUGACGUCCUUCGGGUUGUAAACCGAUUUCGCCUGUGACGAGGCGUGAGUGACGGUAAUGGGUAAAGAAGCACCGGCUAACUACGUG
rnacentral:rRNA from 1 species